rnacentral:rRNA from 1 species
GUGGGGAAUUUUGCGCAAUGGGCGAAAGCCUGACGCAGCAACGCCGCGUGAGCGAUGAAGGCUUUAGGGUCGUAAAGCUCUGUCAAGUGGGAAGAAUCCAUGACGGUACCACUGAAGGAAGCCCCGGCUAACUCCGUGCCAGCAGCCGCGGUAAUACGGGGGGGGCAAGCGUUGUUCGGAAUUAUUGGGCGUAAAGCGUAUGUAGGUGGUUGAAUAAGUCAGCCGUGUAAGCCCUCGGCUCAACCGGGGAAUUGCGUUUGAAACUAUUCAACUUGAGUGCAGAAGAGGAAAGCGGAAUUCCCAGUGUAGCGGUGAAAUGCGUUGAUAUUGGGAAGAACACCGGUGGCGAAGGCGGCUUUCUGGUCUGCUACUGACACUGAGAUACGAAAGCCAGGGGAGCGAACGGG